GAUGAACGCUGGCGGCGUGCCUAAUACAUGCAAGUCGAGCGAACGGACGAGAAGCUUGCUUCUCUGAUGUUAGCGGCGGACGGGUGAGUAACACGUGGAUAACCUACCUAUAAGACUGGGAUAACUUCGGGAAACCGGAGCUAAUACCGGAUAAUAUUUUGAACCGCAUGGUUCAAAAGUGAAAGACGGUCUUGCUGUCACUUAUAGAUGGAUCCGCGCUGCAUUAGCUAGUUGGUAAGGUAACGGCUUACCAAGGCAACGAUGCAUAGCCGACCUGAGAGGGUGAUCGGCCACACUGGAACUGAGACACGGUCCAGACUCCUACGGGAGGCAGCAGUAGGGAAUCUUCCGCAAUGGGCGAAAGCCUGACGGAGCAACGCCGCGUGGGUGAUGAAGGUCUUCGGAUCGUAAAACUCUGUUAUUAGGGAAGAACAUAUGUGUGAGUAAAUGUGCACAUCUUGACGUUACCUAAUCAGAAAGCAACGGCUAACUACGUG
rnacentral:rRNA from 1 species